rnacentral:rRNA from 1 species
UACGGGGGGGGGUAAGCGUUGUUCGGAAUUACUGGGCGUAAAGGGCGCGUAGGCGGCCUUCUAAGUCGAACGUGAAAUCCCCGGGCUCAACCCGGGAACUGCGUCCGAUACUGGGAGGCUUGAAUCCGGGAGAGGGAUGUGGAAUUCCAGGUGUAGCGGUGAAAUGCGUAGAUAUCUGGAGGAACACCGGUGGCGAAGGCGGCAUCCUGGACCGGUAUUGACGCUGAGGAGCGAAAGCGUGGGGAGCGAACAGG